UGCCCUUAACUCUGGGAUAAGCCUGGGAAACUGGGUCUAAUACCGGAUAUGACUCCUCAUCGCAUGGUGGGGGGUGGAAAGCUUUAUUGUGGUUUUGGAUGGACUCGCGGCCUAUCAGCUUGUUGGUGAGGUAAUGGCUCACCAAGGCGACGACGGGUAGCCGGCCUGAGAGGGUGACCGGCCACACUGGGACUGAGACACGGCCCAGACUCCUACGGGAGGCAGCAGUGGGGAAUAUUGCACAAUGGGCGAAAGCCUGAUGCAGCGACGCCGCGUGAGGGAUGACGGCCUUCGGGUUGUAAACCUCUUUCAGUAGGGAAGAAGCGAAAGUGACGGUACCUGCAGAAGAAGCGCCGGCUAACUACGUGCCAGCAGCCGCGGUAAUACGUAGGGCGCAAGCGUUAUCCGGAAUUAUUGGGCGUAAAGAGCUCGUAGGCGGUUUGUCGCGUCUGCCGUGAAAGUCCGGGGCUCAACUCCGGAUCUGCGGUGGGUACGGGCAGACUAGAGUGAUGUAGGGGAGACUGGAAUUCCUGGUGUAGCGGUGAAAUGCGCAGAUAUCAGGAGGAACACCGAUGGCGAAGGCAGGUCUCUGGGCAUUAACUGACGCUGAGGAGCGAAAGCAUGGGGAGCGAACAGGAUUAGAUACCCUGGUAGUCCAUGCCGUAAACGUUGGGCACUAGGUGUGGGGGACAUUCCACGUUUUCCGCGCCGUAGCUAACGCAUUAAGUGCCCCGCCUGGGGAGUACGGCCGCAAGGCUAAAACUCAAAGGAAUUGACGGGGGCCCGCACAAGCGGCGGAGCAUGCGGAUUAAUUCGAUGCAACGCGAAGAACCUUACCAAGGCUUGACAUGAACCGGAAAUACCUGGAAACAGGUGCCCCGCUUGCGGUCGGUUUACAGGUGGUGCAUGGUUGUCGUCAGCUCGUGUCGUGAGAUGUUGGGUUAAGUCCCGCAACGAGCGCAACCCUCGUUCUAUGUUGCCAGCGCGUUAUGGCGGGGACUCAUAGGAGACUGCCGGGGUCAACUCGGAGGAAGGUGGGGACGACGUCAAAUCAUCAUGCCCCUUAUGUCUUGGGCUUCACGCAUGCUACAAUGGCCGGUACAAAGGGUUGCGAUACUGUGAGGUGGAGCUAAUCCCAAAAAGCCGGUCUCAGUUCGGAUUGGGGUCUGCAACUCGACCCCAUGAAGUCGGAGUCGCUAGUAAUCGCAGAUCAGCAACGCUGCGGUGAAUACGUUCCCGGGCC
rnacentral:rRNA from 1 species